rnacentral:lncRNA from 1 species
GUGAGGUUUCCUCUUUUCUCCAUGCUUUCCUAGGGCAGAGGGAGGGCUUCUCCUGGCCCUGCUGUAGACCUAUGUGAUCCCCCAUUGCUGUGGUUUCCCUCAGGCAGUGCCCUGCCUGGCUGUUGCCACUGGCCACAACUGAAUGUCUUGGAUGCAGCUUUCUUUCCCCAGUUCUCUUUGCUUGUAGCGAAUGAUUUUGGUUGUGUCCUUCACUGCUGAGAGCCACUUCCACCUGACCUUGGACACAGUGACAAUGUUUGCUGCCAUGCUGACCAGAGGCAGGUUUUCAGAGACAUCUGGAGACUGGAAGGUACAAUGGCAGCAGAAGAAGGAGGAAGCCCAGGCUGCUCACAUUGCUGUCAUGCUCACCUACAGUGACACUGCACUGCAUGCCCCAGGAAGCAUCUUCUGGGCUGUGUGGAUGCAGACAUCUUGGGCAAGAUCCUGCUGUUUUCUAGAGCCAGCCAACAGGUGGGAGCACAGGGCAUGCAGGGAUAAGGGCCGACUGGAUGCCCAGCUCCAGCCUGUGGGGGUGGUGGCAUAACAAGAUGGCAUCUUUCUGAUGAUCCCAGAGGAACGGUUUACACUGAAUUUGCAGUCCAAACCAUUCUUUAGAUUCUCCACAGUCCAGGUACCUUCCACCCCUCAUCCCUUCAAGUAGUUCAAAAAGUACUUUGUUUUGUUGUCCUCAGGACUCUCAGCUAAAGCUUGCCUUGGUGCAGAGUAUCACUGAGGUCAGCUGCUC